rnacentral:rRNA from 1 species
CUAACACAUGCAAGUCGAAACGGCAGCACGGACUUCGGUCUGGUGGCGAGUGGCGAACGGGUGAGUAAUACAUCGGAACGUGCCUAGUAGUGGGGGAUAACUACUCGAAAGAGUGGCUAAUACCGCAUGAGAUCUACGGAUGAAAGCAGGGGAUCGCAAGACCUUGUGCUACUAGAGCGGCUGAUGGCAGAUUAGGUAGUUGGUGGGAUAAAAGCUUACCAAGCCGACGAUCUGUAGCUGGUCUGAGAGGACGAUCAGCCACACUGGGACUGAGACACGGCCCAGACUCCUACGGGAGGCAGCAGUGGGGAAUUUUGGACAAUGGGCGCAAGCCUGAUCCAGCAAUGCCGCGUGCAGGAUGAAGGCCUUCGGGUUGUAAACUGCUUUUGUACGGAACGAAAAGCUUCGGGCUAAUACCCUGGAGUCAUGACGGUACCGUAAGAAUAAGCACCGGCUAACUACGUGC